AUCUCAUUGGUUGAAUGUAGAGUACUGGUUUUCGUGGCUAUGUCGAAGAGCUGGGCCAGUCUGCCCACAGGGUCUGAUGGAAGAUGUGCAGAGCCAAAUGGAGAAAAGAUUGAGGUAUGAAGGAAGCUAUUUGACAACUGUUGUUGAGUCAGCUGCUGCCAACUGAAAUGCAGUGGGAAAGAAACUAAAAGAAGAACAUACAUAGAACAUUACAGUGCAGGCCCUUCGGCCCUCGAUGUUGUGCCGACCUGUCAUACCGAUCUGAAGCCCAUCUAACCUACACUAUUCCAUGUACGUCCAUAUGCUUAUCCAAUGUCGACUUAAAUGUACCUAAAGUUGGCGAAUCUACUGCUGUUGCAGGCAAAGUGUUCCAUUCCCUUUCUACUCUCUGAGUAAAGAAACUACCUCUGACAUCUGUCCUAUAUCUUUCACCCCUCAAUUUAAAGCUAUGCCCCCUCGUGCUCGCCGUCACCAUCCUAGGAAAAAGGCUCUCCGUAUCCACCCUAUCUAACCCUCUGAUUAUAUGAUAUAUUUCUAUUAAGUCACCUCUCAACCUUCUUCUCUCUAAUGAAAACAGCCUCAAGUCUCUCAGCCUUUCCUCGUAAGACCUUCUCUCCAUACCAGGCAACAUCCUAGUAAAUCUCCUCUGCACCCUUUCCAAAGCUUCCACAUCCUUCUUAUAAUGCGGUGACCAGAACUGUACGCAAUAAUCCAAGUGCGGCCGCACCAGAGUUUUGUACAGCUUCACCAUAAUCUCUUGGUUUCAGAACUCGAUCCCUCUAUUAAUAAAAGCUAAAAAACUGUAUGCCUUCUUAACAUCCCUGUCAACCUGGGUGGCAACUUUCAAGGAUCUGUGUACAUGGACACCGAGAUCUCUCUGCUCAUCUACACUACUAAGAAUCUUACCAUUAGCCCUGUACUUUGCCUUCUGGUUACUCCUACCAAAGUGCAUCACCUCACACUUGUCUGCAUUAAACUCCAUUUGCCACCUCUCAGCCCAGCUCUGCAGCUUAUCUAUGUCUCUCUGCAAUCUACAGCAUCCUUCGUCACUAUCCACAACUUCACCAAUCUUUGUGUCGUCUGCAAGUUUACUAACCUAUCCUUCUACGCCCUCAUCCAGGUCAUUUAUAAAAAUGACAAACAGCAGUGGACCCAACACCGACCCUUGUGGUACACCACUAGUAACUGGUCUCCAGGAUGAACAUUUCCCAUCAACUACCACCCUCUGUCUUCUUUCAGCAAGCCAAUUUCUGAUCCAAACUGCUAUAUCUCCCACAAUUCCAUUCCUCCGCAUUUUGUACAUUAGCCCACUGUGGGGAACCUUAUCGAGCGCCUUGCUGAAAUCCAUAUACACCACAUCAACCGGUUUACUCUCAUCUACCUGUCUGGUCACCUUCUCAGAGAACUCAAUAAGGUUUGUGAGGCAUGACCUACCCUUCACAAAACCAUGCUCUCUAUCCCUGAUCAAUUUAUUCUUUUCUAGAUGAUUAUAAAUCCUAUCCCUUAUAACCUUUUCCAACACUUUACCAACAACUGAGGUAAGGCUCACUGGUCUGUAAUUACCAGGGUUGUCUCUACUCCUCUUCUUGAACAGGGGAACCACAUUUGCUAUCCUCCAGUCAUCUGGCACUAUUCCUGAAGACAAUGACGAGUUAAAGAUCAAUGCCAAAGGCUCAGCAAUCUCCUCCCUGGCUUCCCAGAGGAUCCGAGGAUAAAUCCCAUCCGGCCCAGGAGACUUAUCUAUCUUCACCCUCUGAAGGAUUUCUAAUACCUCUUCCUUGUGAACCUCCAUCCCACCUAGUCUAGUAGCCUGUAUCUCAGUAUUCUCCUCAACAACAUUGUCGUUUUCUAGAGUGAAUACUAUUGAAAAAUAUUCAUUUCGCGCUUCCCCUAUCUCAUCUGACUCCACACACAACUUAUCACGACUAUCCUUGAUUGGCCCUAAUCUUACUUUCGUCAUUCUUUUAUUCCUUAAAUACCUAUAGAAAGCCUUAGGGUUUACCCUGAUCCUAUCCGCCAACAACUUCUCAUGUCUCCUCCUGGCUCUUCUGAGCUCUCUCUUUAGGUCUUUCCUGGCUACCUCGUAGCCCUCAAGUGCCCUAACUGAGCCUUCACAUCUCAUCCUAACAUAAGCCACCUUCUUCCUCUUGACCAGAGAUUCCACCUCCUUCGUAAGAACCUUGAGAACUGGUUGUUAGUAGUCUUUAUAGUUGGAUGGUUGCCUCAGUUAAUAUUUCAGACUGACAACUAUGUUACUGCUAAAUUAAUGUCAGUUUGUUAAAGAAUGAUAGAAAUACCAGCCAUCAAAAUGUGUUUUAACCUGGAAUGUAUCUUCGUGUGCAGGUGGCAUUGUUACAUGGCCUAUUCCUGGAAUAACAUGUCCAUCGUACAUGUGAAACCAGCUCCCUGGAAAUUCAAGACAUGCUAUUCAAAAUAUCUCAUUAAACAAUAAUGUACUCAAUAACUGUUCACUGUUUUGAGAAAAUUCUAUCUCAGUUGAUGAAUGUACAAAAGUAUAUGGUUUACAUGA